rnacentral:rRNA from 1 species
UGCCAGCCGCCGCGGUAAUACGGAGGGUGCAAGCGUUAAUCGGAAUUACUGGGCGUAAAGCGCGCGUAGGCGGUUUGAUAAGCCAGAUGUGGAAGCCCCGGGCUUAACCUGGGAACUGCAUUUGAAACUGUCUAACUAGAGUGUGGUAGAGGGAGGUGGAAUUCAGCGUGUAGCGGUGAAAUGCGUAGAGAUGCUGAGGAACACCAGUGGCGAAGGCGGCCUCCUGGACCAACACUGACGCUGAGGUGCGAAAGCGUGGGGAGCAAACAGGAUUAGAUA